GGGCCUACGGGAGGCAGCAGUAGGGAAUUUUCGUCAAUGGGCGCAAGCCUGAACGAGCAAUGCCGCGUGAACGAGGAAGGUCUUCGGAUCGGAAAGUUCUGUUGAAGGGGAAAAAGAGCGGAGAGAGGAAAUGGUCUCCGAUUGAUAUUACCCUUCGAGGAAGUCACGGCUAACUACGUGCCAGCAGCCGCGGUAAUACGUAGGGGGCGAGCGUUAGCCGGAAUGAUUGGGCGUAGAGGGUGCGUAGGCGGCCUGCUAAGUCGGGAGAGAAAAGUGCCGGCUCAACCGGUACAG
rnacentral:rRNA from 1 species